UUUCAAUAUGUUUGAGAUUACGUAUUCCUAACCAUGUUACUAUUGAGAAUGAAAUGGAGUGCAGGUAUGGGAAUGCCGGACUCUCGAGGAAUUGAUGUCAGACUCAAGUAAAUAAAAUUGAGAUGAUGUUUCAAUGGAAUAACUUACGUAGUUAGUCAGAUAUUCAAGAUGGACAAGUGAACGAGGGUCGAGUUGAAGAUCAUGGAUUGUACGGGAAAACCGUCAUGUUGUUUGUAAUUAUUUGUUAACAUAGUUACAUUAAAUAAAUGAUGAAUGAUGUAUUUAUGUUAAAAGGGUUGUCCUAAACGGUAUUCAGUAUGUUAGAGUAGUUAAAAGAAAGAAAUUUUACGGCUCA